CAAGUGCAAGGCCCCUAUGAGCAGGAAAAGAAGCUUGGGCUGCCCUCAGCCCCACAGCUGUUCUGCACCCACCUCUUACAAAUGCAGCCAAGUCAAGUCCCUUUGUUUCAUCUGGGAGGUCUGGAAAUGGAAUGAGAUGGCUCCAAGCAUUUGAUGGGGAAUUGUCAACAGAGAAUAAACCCAGAACACCUUGCCUAUGUUGGAGUUGGAGCAGUUGUUUUCC